AAUGCAAAUGAGCUGUGCCUGAAUACGCCUCUCUUCGGAAGGGGAUGCCGUUUGGGCUUCUGGCACCAUGCUCUAAUGUUUACGGUGACCAGCGACCUGGCGUCGGUAGCGAUUUGGUUCAACCACACGACUUUUAUCCAGAAUCUGAUCCAGAGGGAGAGGCUGCUGAAGAAGUUCAAACUCUACAACUGCAGCAGGACGUUUCUGAAUGGUGCUCCUGUUGAAACUGUGCAACCAUGUCCACAGAAACUGAGAAUAUCUGCUGCUAGGAGAUACCACAGGUUACCAGACGGCUACGGGAGAUGGAGGAAGAUUUACCAUGUAUAGUAGGCCGUCCUGGGUUGGAGCCGCUCUGCCUCAAUGUGUACUCCCUCCAGAAUGCCUGAAACAUGUACCGCACUGACUAUGGUCCUUUACGGUUGAGAGGAAUAUACCAGUACAUUUUGCUUCUUUGUAAAAACAUAGUUUCAAUCUGAAUAAAAGAUGUUAGGCAGUCUUGUUUUACUUCAGUGCACAUAAUUUUACAAUGGUAAUAACACACCACAAAUGGAGUAACACACCUUCAAAUAAAUUACU